rnacentral:lncRNA from 10 species
AAUCCCCGCAGGCGCUGGGUCUGCAGAUGGCGUCCAGGUACACAGUGGCGAGUGUGAUUCCGCAGUCUUGGGCUGUUUGGCCAAGCGCCCGCCGGACAUGGUACGCCGAAGGGUCAUCGGCGUGGAGUCCUCGCUUUCAGCGUCCGCGGCUGGGAAAUCGGCCAUCGCUACGGCGGGAACUGGGACUCGGGCUGCGUCCCGGCCCUUCCACAUCGGUCCACCGCACUCGUGGGCGCCCGCAUUGGUGCUGACAUAAUUUCCUGACCUCUGACCCGUAUUGUCUCGCGAUUAAAGAGCUGCGCCUGGAUCCCUCAGCAGUGAGGAGACCUGAAGACCAGAGGAAACACAGCAAGUCCAGGCACUCCCACUCCUCCUGAGAGAAAUCUACAGCCACAUCCCUGAACAUCAUCAACUGUUGGAAAGAAUAAUUCCAAGUAUUAAUGGGGCUCACCAGAGAAGACAGGGCAAGGUGAGGGGGAUCUCCUAGCAGAGGAAACAACAUGCGCCAAUCAAGCAAAGAUAUUUUUGUGCAUUCAAGGAACACAGAGAGGAAAGACAGUGGCAGAUGGAGACGUAUAAAGCAGGGAUCCUGUUAUGAAAAGCCCUAAAAAAUAGGGUAUAGAGUUUGGGCCAUAUUUCAGAGGUAAUAAGAAAGCAUUCUGCAUUUUUAAAGUAAGGUUUAAAAAUGUUUCUAAUUAGAGAUACAGCAAAGUUGGUGUGAGAGGAUAAAGACUGAUAUACAUAAUCUGAGGAGUUCAUGAAAAUUCCAUGUAAAGCCUGUAGUAUGAAUUGGUCCUAGGAGACAGACAGCUUCAGGGGCAUAGAGAACUUUAAGCACUUUUCCAAGAAGAGUGAAGGGCUGGAGAAUAAAUUGUGAACUAAAAUAUAUUUUGUG